UACGUAGGGACCGAGCGUUGUCCGGAAUCAUUGGGCGUAAAGAGCGUGUAGGCGGCUUGCUAAGUCUUGCGUGAAAUCUCGGGGCUCAACCCCGAGCGGUCGUGGGAAACUGGCAGGCUAGAGUGCGGGAGAGGAGAAUGGAAUUCCUGGUGUAGCGGUGAAAUGCGCAGAUAUCAGGAAGAACACCCGUGGCGAAGGCGGUUCUCUAGUACGGUACUGACGCUGAGACGCGAAAGCGUGGGGAGCGAACAGG
rnacentral:rRNA from 1 species